CACACACUUGUUGUUCACUUACUCCAGUUUCUCUAAUUUGCAGUUUUCACUCCUCAGUCCCUCACACAGCUGAUCCACUCCUGUAUCCUCCAUGUUGUUGUUGUAGCUCAGGUCCAGUUCAGUCAGUCGUGAGUGUGGAGCAGAAAGUGCUGAGGAGAGAGCUGAGCAACAUCUGGAGGUGAAACGACAAUGAGACAGGCUGUGGAGAAGAAGAGAGAGAAGUGAGGACAUGAGGAGAAACAGACAGACAGACAGACAGAAGGACAAACAACACAAAGGUUCAAUGGCCACUUGUAUUCUGACUUUUCACUGAAGUGCAUUGUGAACACGAGACCACUGCCAUUCUUAUAAAGUAAGGCGCUAUAUACCUGACAGGGUCUCCUGCCUUCACACUGGACUGACUGGUACCAAGUCAUUCAGACUGACAUGUGGACAUCAACACUGGAUAAGAACAUCACAGACAUGAGACUGACAGUGUCCUGCACUCAAGUGACCAGAUGGACUUGUCACAGUUGACCACGGGGUGAGGAUGACAAACUGGAAUUUUUGUCUGUCAUUUACCACUCAGAACUGGCAGCUCUAGUGGUGACCAGCAGCAGGUCUGUUUGUCUCCGUCUAUGUCAAAGUUUUUUAUUUUAGUAAUCGGUUCAUUUUCUGAACAGGAAUAAAGGAAUACACAGUAUGUGU